GCAGCAGGAGGCAGGCAGUGGCUCCAAGGGCCAGCAGCAGCGCCAGGCCCAGCGCGAUGUAGGCACCCGUGGUCAGCCAGAAGGCAAAGAGUGGACUCAGGCAUCUGGGCCUGUGACUCACCAGCGAUGAACCAGGCGAAGAGGAAGAGGAGGAAGAGCGCAUGGCAGCCCCAGACUCCAGGCUUCACUGGGGGCGGCUCAGCCCCAUCGCCACAGGGCAGGCAGGCACCACACGACCCUUGGCCCUGUCCUGGGCUUUAUUGGAGCCACAAGCAAGGUACAGCAGGACCCCCUCCCCGUACUCCCUUCCC